rnacentral:rRNA from 1 species
UACGUAGGGCGCAAGCGUUAUCCGGAAUUAUUGGGCGUAAAGAGCUCGUAGGCGGUUUGUCGCGUCUGCCGUGAAAGUCCGGGGCUCAACUCCGGAUCUGCGGUGGGUACGGGCAGACUAGAGUGAUGUAGGGGAGACUGGAAUUCCUGGUGUAGCGGUGAAAUGCGCAGAUAUCAGGAGGAACACCGAUGGCGAAGGCAGGUCUCUGGGCCAUAACUGACGCUGAGAAGCGAAAGCAUGGGGGAGCGAACAGG